rnacentral:rRNA from 1 species
UACGUAGGGUGCAAGCGUUGUCCGGAAUUAUUGGGCGUAAAGGGCGCGUAGGCGGUCUCGUAAGUCUGCGGUGAAAUCCUCCAGCUCAACUGGAGAACGGCCGUGGAUACUGCGAGUCUCGAGGGAGGUAGGGGCGUGCGGAACAGAUGGUGGAGCGGUGAAAUGCGUUGAUAUCAUCUGGAACUCCGGUGGCGAAGGCGGCACGCUGGACCUCUUCUGACGCUGAGGCGCGAAAGCCAGGGGAGCAAACGGG